CGGGCGAGCCUGGCUGUGCGGGCCCGGGCCGCGCCGAGCGCGCUGUGUGGCGGGGCCCAGGCUGCGCUCGCCGCUAGUGGCGUUUGGCACAGACCCGGAGCCUAUAGGGGCGGCCUCGUUAGUCCAGGGUUUGAAUUCCCAGCAAGACUUCUCCCUAAAGGAGCAAGCAACGUCAUCCAAAAAUAGAUAUCGCGAACACCAUGGACUCUGUUGCCCGGCAAGCGUGUUUAAAACGGGUUCAAAAACAUGCGGCGGCAUAUUCGGAUUAUCUUCAACUAUUAUUAAACUGGAAAAAAAUAAAAAAGCACGAUUGUCGAGGGCCAGGGAAGCAAGCACUUCCGCACACUCCAGUGUGUCACAGAAUAUUUCUGCGGGACCGUGGGAGUGCCCCUGCUGAUAUGCGCUCUCUAGCUGUGCACAUCUGGAAACAUCUGGGCCACCUUCCAAUCUGUAAGAACCUGAGCAACAGGUCUUCUCCAUCCUCUCAUCAGAGGAGGGGGGCCGCUUACAUAUACCCUCUCUGUAAAUCUGACUAGUCUGUUUCCUGUUCCAGAGCAAGUGGUCUGACGAUCUGAAACACUGCCCGUGGCACAGGUGCGCCACAGGGAGGUAUGACAGAGCCAUCAACACCUCUCUGAUGGGCACCUGGGGGAAGAGCAGGUGGGGCUCCCAGCAGUCACUCACUGCCCAGGACACCACCACCCCUUGAUAACCUGGGCCUCGUCGCCCUCCUCUGCACAGGCUACUGACGUGUUUCCACGCCACUGUCAGAGGGCAGCAGGAAGGGUUUGCUAAGACACACUGCGUGGAGACAGGGCAGACUGGAAAGGCAGGCAGCUGGAUGGAGAGACCCCGUCCAGACACAGGUGCCCUCCAGGACGUCUAUGCAGGGAACACCGGCCCCCCCUGGGCUGCAAGGGCACUGUCCUCCAAGCUGCCGCUGUACGAGGGCCACUGACCCUGAAGGAGAGACCAGCUCAGGCAGGCACUGCUGGUUCAGCCCCAGAAGAGCCCACAAAGCAGAAAGGGACAGCACUUCAAAGAGUUAACUACAUGAGAGUUAAAAUGAAAUAACCAUACACAUAUUUGGACAUUAAAAUUUGUUUUAAUUUAUAUAAAUAAAAAAAUUCUACUUAAAUAAUGAUUCAUCUGGGUCUUCUUGUAUAAUACAAAAUUCUUCCAUGGGCGUCUGAUGAUUUUGAGGCCAGCAACUCUUCUCACAAGUAUAAACUAGAAUUGUUCCAAAUUCCACUGAAACACCUAAAAAAUACAACAAAUCCAGGAAAGAGAAAGUUACAAGAUCCCCCCAAAAUGUAAAAGUUGACACAGACUGCAAGGAAGACUGCCUGGGUUCCAGUCCCAGCUCCCCCACCCUGAGCAGGCGAUUCCACCUCUGUGAAAUCCUGACGACAAGGGGUUAAAUGAGCUACUAUACAGAAAAUGCUCAGAACAGGACCUGGCACAGCUAGAGUGUUCGCUGGAAAGGAGGUUAAGUAAUUAGAAGAUAACAGCCCUUGGCCGGCGCCAUGGCUCAACAGGCUAAUCCUCUGCCUUGCGGCGCCGGCAUACCAGGUUCUAGUCCCGGUCGGGGCACUGGAUUCUGUCCUGGUUGCCCCCCUUCCAGACCAGCUCUCUGCCGUGGCUCGGGAGGGCAGUGGAGGAUGGCCCAAGUGCUUGGGCCCUGCACCCCAUGGGCGACCAGGAGAAGCACCUGGCUCCUGCCUUUGGAUCAGUGCUCUGAGCCAGCCGCUGCGGCCACUGGAGGGUGAACCAACAGCAAAGGAAGACCUUUCUCUUGUCUCUCUCUCUCACUAUCCACUCUGCCUGUCAAAAAAAAAAAAAGAAGAAGAAGAAGAUAACAGCCUUGAAGGAAGAGGCCUCAAUGUCAGGAUAACAGAAGUUUGCUAAAGGGAAUGAUUUUAUCUAAAGAGCUGAAAAAAUAAUUAGGUAAAGGAAAACAGUGCUUUUAGCUGCACUACAGGCUUAGGCUAAGUCUGUCCUACAAGGGAACGCUCAUGAGGCAAAGCAGAUCUAAUCAGAAGAUCUUAGACAAAAUCUCAGGUCUUCAUUACAAACAGCUAAACCUGUGUGAUGUUGAAAAUCACUACUAAAAUAUGUCCUAUAGCAUAGCACACUGCUGCCAAGGAUUCAGGAAAAGAAAAAAACUUAACCGUGGACAGAGCCAGAAAACAGGAGCAACAGGAGCUCCAGCUGAGGGGCAGUGCAGUGGGGCAGUGGGUAAAGCCGCCGCCUGCAACCCUCACAUCCCAUGCUGGAGCACUGGGUUAGAUCCCCGCUUCUCUGCUUCCGCUCUAGAUCCCUGCUAACGCAGCAGCAAAUGGCCCCAGUACUUGUGUCCCUGCAGCCCUGGAUAGAGUUCCUGGCUCUGGUCAUUCAG